rnacentral:misc_RNA from 1 species
CUGCGCGCACGGGGCCGGGGACACGUGCAGGCGGGGGCUGCCACGCUGGUCAGGGGCCUCGCUGGGGGCGGGCGAACCGGGCAAGGGAGGGGAGCCGUCGGGGCCAGGGAUGGGCUGCGUGGGGGGCGGGUCCGCACCGGGAGGGUAGGGGGCCGCCAGGGCAGGGGCUGCGUAGGGGUGGGGCCGCACCGGGAGGGUAGGCGGUCGUCGGGGCAGGGGCCGUGCAGGGCGCCUAGCCGCUCCUCUUUCUCCUCCAGCGUCGCGCCCCUGGCCCCUCUGCCUGAGCUCGCCCAUGGCGCGCAGCCGCGUCUUCAAGCUCGGUCUCCAUCUCCAUGGCGCCAUCUGCCCUCGUCCUGCUCCCUAGUUCCGACUGAGCUCACGCCCUGCUCCCUGGCAUCGCAGGCUCGUUGGCGUUCCUCCCGUUCCCUGCUCGCGUCGCGGCUUUUCCCCUCGGAGCUCCCUGUGCUCGCCAUGGCCGCUGCGCUUCCUCCCUAG